UUAUUUUUUAAAUUCUGCCGCCUACUAGUACAAAAAGAUCUGUUCACACGACAUUCCCCUUCUCUACUAAAAGAGAGAGAGAGAAAAAAAAUACAAAAUAUGAACAUCAUUAAGAAGGUGGGAAAAAAAACUAACAAGACUUAAAACUACUUAAAACUAUUCAUAGUCCUUCAUCCAGAGUGGCUUUCUUAUUGAGCGACCACUACGAGUACUACAAGAUUCCAUUUCAACGUCACUAUUAGCGGGUUCAGACUGUGGAGGUGAUAGGAGAGGUGGUGAAUGGGGAGGUGAAGGAGAUACAGAUCGAAAGGGACCAAUAUCAUCUAUCUCAGAAUUGAUAUGCCUUUGCUCCGCCAAAUUUGAAGGAAGUGAAUUGAUAUGUACUCUGUUUCUCCUAUACUGUACUCCUUUACUGUCAAUUACAUUAUACGAUCUGGGUUCGUCACCAAUAGAUUUGAUGACACCCGGAAUCCACAUACCUGAAUCCGUUUUUUUAAACAUAACUUUUUGAUUUAAUGACAAAGGUUGUGCAUUUUUCGUCCGUUGAUCAUAAUACUUCUUUUGACCCUCUCUAUAUCUAUUAAAUUUCUCUUUGUUAUAUUUAUACAUUUUUGGCUUCAAAAGCUUGCUGUGUACCGGAAUCUUACUUCUUAACUGGCGAUUAAAAAGUAACUGAGCUGGAGAAGGACCGAAACUUUUGGGUGUAUUUCUUAGAUUUAGUAAAGCAAUGUAUGGAUCUGUCUUGUCAUAUAGACACUUUUGUAACAUAACUUUGAUGACUUUUACAGCAGACUCAGCCUCACCAUUUGACUGAGGAUACCUGGGACUUGAUGUUAUGUGUUGGAAAUCAUACUCUUUUGAGAAUUCUUUAAAUAUUGAACUCGAAAAUUGAGGACCGUUGUCACUCAUUACAAUGGCUGGAAUGCCAUGUCUAGCAAAUAUGCUUUUAAUAUGAGUAAUGACCUCGGAAGAAGAAGUAUUUUUACACAGGGCAAUUUCAAUGAAUUUGCUGUAAUAGUCAACAAGUAGUACAUAUUGAUUAUUAUUAAAUUCAAACAUGUCCAUGCC
rnacentral:lncRNA from 1 species